GGAGCUUGCUCCCGGAUGUUAGCGGCGGACGGGUGAGUAACACGUGGGUAACCUGCCUGUAAGACUGGGAUAACUCCGGGAAACCGGAGCUAAUACCGGAUAGUUCCUUGAACCGCAUGGUUCAAGGAUGAAAGACGGUUUCGGCUGUCACUUACAGAUGGACCCGCGGCGCAUUAGCUAGUUGGUGAGGUAACGGCUCACCAAGGCGACGAUGCGUAGCCGACCUGAGAGGGUGAUCGGCCACACUGGGACUGAGACACGGCCCAGACUCCUACGGGAGGCAGCAGUAGGGAAUCUUCCGCAAUGGACGAAAGUCUGACGGAGCAACGCCGCGUGAGUGAUGAAGGUUUUCGGAUCGUAAAGCUCUGUUGUUAGGGAAGAACAAGUGCAAGAGUAACUGCUUGCACCUUGACGGUACCUAACCAGAAAGCCACGGCUAACUACGUGCCAGCAGCCGCGGUAAUACGUAGGUGGCAAGCGUUGUCCGGAAUUAUUGGGCGUAAAGGGCUCGCAGGCGGUUUCUUAAGUCUGAUGUGAAAGCCCCCGGCUCAACCGGGGAGGGUCAUUGGAAACUGGGAAACUUGAGUGCAGAAGAGGAGAGUGGAAUUCCACGUGUAGCGGUGAAAUGCGUAGAGAUGUGGAGGAACACCAGUGGCGAAGGCGACUCUCUGGUCUGUAACUGACGCUGAGGAGCGAAAGCGUGGGGAGCGAACAGGAUUAGAUACCCUGGUAGUCCACGCCGUAAACGAUGAGUGCUAAGUGUUAGGGGGUUUCCGCCCCUUAGUGCUGCAGCUAACGCAUUAAGCACUCCGCCUGGGGAGUACGGUCGCAAGACUGAAACUCAAAGGAAUUGACGGGGGCCCGCACAAGCGGUGGAGCAUGUGGUUUAAUUCGAAGCAACGCGAAGAACCUUACCAGGUCUUGACAUCCUCUGACAACCCUAGAGAUAGGGCUUUCCCUUCGGGGACAGAGUGACAGGUGGUGCAUGGUUGUCGUCAGCUCGUGUCGUGAGAUGUUGGGUUAAGUCCCGCAACGAGCGCAACCCUUGAUCUUAGUUGCCAGCAUUCAGUUGGGCACUCUAAGGUGACUGCCGGUGACAAACCGGAGGAAGGUGGGGAUGACGUCAAAUCAUCAUGCCCCUUAUGACCUGGGCUACACACGUGCUACAAU
rnacentral:rRNA from 1 species